rnacentral:lncRNA from 1 species
ACGAGAAGCCUAUGAAAAUAUUUUCUCUUCCUUUGGGGCAAAUGAUUAUAUUUUUGAUUCUUUCGUGUCGACUGCACAUUGUAAUGAAAUUGAAAAAGCGAGAGAAAAAGAAAAUGAAGAGAAAGAAUUCGAAAAAGAAAUUGAGAUUGUACAAGAGUACGAGCGAGAAAAAGAAAUCGAAAGAAAAGAAAAAGAGAUUGAAAAAGAAAAAGAAAUAAAAAAAAGAGUGAGUUCG